rnacentral:rRNA from 1 species
AGAACGAACGUUGGCGGCGUGGAUUAGGCAUGCAAGUCGAACGGGAUUCGGGGGCAACCCCGGGUCUAGUGGCGAACGGGUGAGUAACGCGUGGGAAACCUGCCCUCGAGUUGGGGAUAACACUCCCAACGGGGUGCUAAUACCGAAUGAGACCACGAAGUCGCAUGGCUACGAGGUCAAAGGUAGAAAUGCCGCUCGAGGAUGGUCCCGCGUCUGAUUAGCUAGUUGGUGGGGUAAUGGCCUACCAAGGCUACGAUCAGUAGC